AAAAUUAAAUAAAUAAAAAGGGAGAAAGUAUAAAAGGGGAAAAGCAGCCGUCAUCAGGUCAUUUCUCUUGGACUACGCUCAAGAAACAGCAAAAACACAGACUCUGCCUGAAGCACUAGACUGAGAAGGCGCUGUGGGAUCAGGAGACUCUUCUUCAAACCAAGUUAACUGAUUCAAAGAAAUGGCAGAAAACACAGGAAACACCAGUGGAACUAUGACUCCUCAACAAUAUGUCUAUCCUGAUGAAAGAGCAACAGAGUAUGAAAAAAAGAAAUUCAGAAAGGAAGAAAGAGCUCGCAGACCCGAACAGCUGUUUGUAAAUAAAAGAACAUCGAAAGACGAUAAAUACCAGUUUUAUACUGAAGAUCCAGAAAAAUGGAGAAACUGGAUAAAAGAGGAGUUUGGUGACGAAACUGAGAAAAUAAUUACUUACAAAUAUGACACAGACAAAAGCACCAUAAUGUUACACAGCAAUGGAGAAUGUGUGAUACAUGUUUCAAAUGACGAAAGGGGUGAAUUUCUCAAGUGGUUUGGAGGAAAAAAAAGUAACGUAAAGCAAGAAGAUCAAAAAACAGAAGACCUAAAUGAAAAAAUGAAAGAUUUGACAUUAAAAAAGUAACAAUGAAAAUACUACAACCUUGCUCAUUGGUUGUCAUGUGAUUGUUGGGGUUUUCUCUGUAUUAUUGCAGGAUCUUCACCUUACAAUAUAAAGUGUCCUGAAGCAACUGUUGUCGUGAUUUGCCUCUAAAAAGCACCGCCCCUCCACAGCUCACACAUAAUGAAAUAUUACAUAGUCAAACAUUAUCUGUAGAGUGUAAAUCAGAACUGCUGUUUGUUAUGAAGCAUGUUUGCAGUUUUGUGUGUGUUUUUUGUUUUUUCCUGUUUCUUUGAAUUCACAAGAUGAUAUGUGUGAACAUUUGAUUUACUGUGCUUGGAAAUUUUUACUUUUUGUUUGUUUCACUGCACCUGUUCAAAAUAAAUUUGGAAAUUAAAACAUUAAAAAAAACAUUUCUUUCUUUUCUUUAUUUUCAGUCAUACUUGUUGUAAGUAAUCUGCGAGGGUUAAAAGUGCAGGUUUCAGAGUGUUUUAGAUACUCCAGAUGGAUUCUUCUGUCAGGAUACAGAGAAGCUCCACCAUCCUUUUCUUGAAACUUUUAUAUGAGGGAUAAAUGUUGACUUAAUGGAAAAGGAUAUAAUGAAAUUUCAAAACAAACAAUAAAAUAAAAUAAUAAUGACAGCAGUUUAGAGGCUGGACUAAGAGCAGUGGCUUUUUGACUGGUUGUCUUCUAACUUCUUAAACCAAACAAAGACACAAUACUAUUCAAAUAAUAUAUUUUUUUAAAUUUUAGGAUACGGUGUUCUGGGAAUCCAUCCUACCAGACAAAUCAUCCUACCCGUUGUUUCUGCGCAUGCGCACGACACAAAAUUAAGUGGGAAAUCAUCCUACGUUUGUUAAUAAGAGCUAGAAACAUACUCUGAUGGGUAAAAUUAAGUGCCAAACCAUGCUACCUUUAUGAAUGUGACCUACAAGCAUACUUUAACGGGUUAAAUGAAGUGGCAAACCAUCCUGGCUUCAUGAAUAUGAGCUACAAGCAUACUCUGAUGGGCAAAGUUAAGUGGCAAACCGUCAUACCUACUUACAUUUGUGCUGGAAUUAUUCCGUGACAGCAGAAAUGUGCAUAAACUACUUACGGUAGGACGUUUUGCCAAAGUAGGAUGGUUUGUUGGGGAGAAGCUUUAUAUAAGAUGAAACAAAAGGAAAAGCUGAAAGUUACAACUAAACUGUUUUCAGUAAAAGCUUUUUAGAGUUUAAGUUUUUCUUUAUUCUCAGAAUGAACUGAAACAACCUGAAACAUUUUCUGACACAAAAAACAGUUAAAGUUCAAUUUAUUUUGUACCAAUAACAAAUGAAACUUACAAUGAAUUUUUCUGUCACUUUUUCAAAUAUUUAAAAGAUCUGGAAAAAAGGCGGACAUUGUACUCUGGGUGUACAGAAGACAUUUGGAAGGAUUUACAUCUGAGCUGCCACGCCUUAGAAGAGCAGCGGAGACAAUUGUCUUAACUUAUUGUUGUUCGAGGAUUAAAGGGUAAAACAAAAACUUGUCUCCAGACUUUUUCAUUCAUGCAUAAUUUGAAUCAUAUAUAAUUACACUGUGAUAUAAACUUAAUGUCAUGAAUAAG